AAACGGGAGCGAGGGUGCUCGGGGUGGGCUGCAGCUGCGGAGCCUGUACCCCGGCCCCAGCCCUGCCCGCCAGCUCCCCGCGGUGACCGAACGGGAGCGCUUCUCCUCAGGCCUCCUGCUCUGGAGUGAGCAGGACGCGGCUCUACCCCGCAGCGCGCUUCCUUAGCCUUGAGGCUUAGCUCCCAUAUUUAUCUGCACCCGCUGUGAGAGUCAGACCCCCUUUCCUUUAAAAUACACAGUGAUGAUGUUUUUUCUCAUUCUUCUGUUCUGUUUCCAGUUAAAGUGUUAUAGACAUUGUCUUAUUUCCCACGAUUUUUUAUUCUCCGACCUGGCCUCCCCGCACUAUUGCAGAAAUGCUAGUGCUAUACCAACGGACGGCGUAGGACUUCAGAUGGGGAUGAGCGGCACAAUCUCCAGGGGCUUCCGAGAUGUCUUGGGUGUUGCGGCCUGUGCUCCUGUAAAAAGGCAGUGGAAUUGCUUUCUUGCUCUCACUGGCCGGCCGGAAGGAUUCAACAAGCUUUACUCUGAAAUGAAUACACGAUUUUAACACUGGCGUCCACGAAGACUCAACAAAAGACACCUUCAUUACUUCGGAAGGCCUCCGGGUCAGCUACCCCAUUACAGCUCCAGGAGGAGAGGACUGCUUUUGAACGACUCGCGCCUGCUGCGUCGCAUCUGGAGGCAGAGACUCUGCGCGGAGCCGAGCGGUGCCGCCGGGAGAGCGCGUGGGACGGGAGCCGCCGUUGCAGGUCUGGUUGUGGCCGGUUCCCCUCACUUUCGGGGUCAGCCGGGAAACCGUCUCACCCCGGCAGAGAGGGAGGCUGUUAAAAGCUUUGAGGCGCUAUCUUCUUAAGCUUCUCCAGCUCCAUUUUGGCCUUUUUCUCCAGCCACUUGUGCAACGUGGCUGAGCUACAGCUGGCGGGCCAGAGCCUGACACGCCGCCGGUUGGUGACACUUCCCUCCCGUUGCCCUGGGCUGCCGGUCUCCGUUCCUGAGGGAAGCGGGAAGGACACGUUCGCUUUUAUUCCCGUCGCUCCUCAUGACUGAACAAGCCAGGCGCCUUCUGAGCACUGUGCAAAGGGAGUUUAGCUAGGUGGUUUAUCUACCUUGGGUUUUGCCUUUAAGACAUGUUUCGCCUAAGCAUUGAAUAAGUCAUUAUUGUCUCUCGCAAACCUAUGACUCACCAUAUGGUUUUAUCUGCAAGCCCUUUUCCUGAUAGAUCGCGAAGCACACCCAAGCUGAGGAGGUGCUUGUACAGAGGCUUUUACAGAGCCUUUGGGUCUGUCCCCUGUCACUGCAGCAAAAUAAGGCAGGUCCAGACCCAGAGGAGCUGUCGCAAAGCUCGUCUGGCUUAAUGAUUAACACCUCACGCUGCUGCGGGAGUGCUGGGGCAGAGAGACCUCUGGACUCGUGAGCUCCCCGAGAAGAGGAGCCCGCCUCUGGCCUUGCGCCGAGACCCGUCCCUCUACAGGCGCGAGGAUUGGCGGGCAGGUAAUUUGGACGGUUCUGUGGUUGCCUACAACACUAACACUUACCGAGGACCAGCUCCGGCGGGCUUUCACAGACACAGCUGGGCGCUUUGCCUGGCUCUGAAGCCCUCGUUGGGCUUGCAACGUGAUUUUAAUGGAUAAUGAGAGGAAGGAAAAGUAAAGGGGAACGGAGCCUUGUGUGGCUAUGCUGUUUGGUGUGGCAACCUCGCAGAAGUCUCUUCUGUGGUCCCCACC